ensembl:snRNA U6 U6 spliceosomal RNA
GUGUUGUUUCGGCAGUACAUAUACUGAAAUUGGAAUGAUACAGAGAAGAUUAGCAUGGUUCCUUUGCAAGGGUGAUAUGGAAAUUCAUGAAGCAUUCCAUACUUUA